rnacentral:rRNA from 1 species
UACGGAGGGUGCAAGCGUUAAUCGGAAUUACUGGGCGUAAAGCGCGCGUAGGCGGUUUGGUAAGCGGGAUGUGAAAGCCCCGGGCUUAACCUGGGAACGGCAUUUCGAACUGUCAGACUAGAGUGUGGUAGAGGGUAGUGGAAUUUCCUGUGUAGCGGUGAAAUGCGUAGAUAUAGGAAGGAACACCAGUGGCGAAGGCGACCACCUGGGCUAAUACUGACACUGAGGUGCGAAAGCGUGGGGAGCAAACAGG